UUUACUUCUCAUCUUAUUCACUUUGGCCUCAUCAACUACUAUAACAUCUUCAUCCAAAGAAGAAAUAAAAUGCGAUACUUGCACGCCUGUUCCCUCUCCACCGCCACCACCCCCCGUGGUAACUGAGUGCCCACCACCUCCUUCUCCGCCUUCUCCUCCUCCGCCAUCACCUCCACCACCACCAAAUCCGUCGCCGCCACCACCAGCAUGCCCUUCAUGUGCUUCACCUUGCUCCAGCUGCCGUCCACCACCGUGCUCUGGAUGCCCUUCGCCACCCAAACAAGUGGUUCCUUACUUCAUAUAUAGCUACAAGAACCCUC
rnacentral:lncRNA from 1 species